AGCGAACGCUGGCGGCAGGCUUAACACAUGCAAGUCGAGCGGGCACUUUCGGGUGUCAGCGGCGGACGGGUGAGUAACGCGUGGGAACGUGCCCUCUGGUUCGGAAUAACUCAGGGAAACUUGAGCUAAUACCGGAUACGCCCUUUUGGGGAAAGGCUUGCUGCCGGAGGAUCGGCCCGCGUCUGAUUAGCUAGUUGGUGAGGUAACGGCUCACCAAGGCGACGAUCAGUAGCUGGUCUGAGAGGAUGAUCAGCCACACUGGGACUGAGACACGGCCCAGACUCCUACGGGAGGCAGCAGUGGGGAAUAUUGGACAAUGGGCGCAAGCCUGAUCCAGCCAUGCCGCGUGAGUGAUCAAGGCCUUGGGGUUGUAAAGCUCUUUUAUCCGGGACGAUAAUGACGGUACCGGAGGAAUAAGCCCCGGCUAACUUCGUG
rnacentral:rRNA from 1 species